rnacentral:rRNA from 1 species
AGAGUUUGAUCCUGGCUCAGAGACGAACGCUGGCGGCGUGCCUAAGCACAUAGCAAGUCGAACGCGCUUCCAUCGACGGUCAUGCAAUGACGUAGAUCGAGGUAGCGAGUGGUCGUAGAUCGGGUGAGUAGUCAGCGUGAGACGACCUGUCGCCCGGAGAGAACCCGGGGNGCCAACACUCGGGGGACAUACCUGGUCGGCUAUAUUAGCCCGAGAAUAAUGCCCCUUAUUCGGGAAACCGGCGAUUGGAUUCUGGANGAACGGGAGAGAUUGGGAUGUCCGGGUUACGAGGAAGGGGGGCUCGUCGGGCCUAUCAGACUAGUUAGGUGAGGUAACGGCCCACCAACGGCAUCAGACGGGUACGCUGGUCUGAGAGGACGAUCUAGUCCACACUGGGAAUUGAGACACUGGCCCAGAACUCCUACCGGGAAAGGCAG